rnacentral:rRNA from 1 species
UUUUCCUACGGGGGGCAGCAGUGGGGAAUAUUGGGCAAUGGGCGCAAGCCUGACCCAGCAACGCCGCGUGAAGGAAGAAGGCCUUCGGGUUGUAAACUUCUUUUGUCAGGGACGAAGAAAGUGACGGUACCUGACGAAUAAGCCACGGCUAACUACGUGCCAGCAGCCGCGGUAAUACGUAGGUGGCAAGCGUUAUCCGGAUUUACUGGGUGUAAAGGGCGUGUAGGCGGGAGAGCAAGUCAGACGUGAAAUUCCAGGGCUCAACCCUGGAACUGCGUUUGAAACUGUUCUUCUUGAGUGAUGGG